rnacentral:rRNA from 1 species
GACGUAGGGGGCCAGCGUUGUUCGGAAUUACUGGGUGGAAAGGGUUCGUAGGCGGUGUGGCAAGUCGGGAGUGAAAUCUCUGGGCUCAACCCAGAGUCUGCUUCCGAAACUGCUGUGCUUGAGUGUGGGAGAGGCGCGUGGAAUUGCAGGUGUAGCGGUGAAAUGCGUAGAUAUCUGGAGGAACACCCGUGGCGAAAGCGGCGCGCUGGACCACUACUGACGCUGAGGAACGAAAGCUAGGGGAGCAAACAGG